rnacentral:rRNA from 1 species
UACGAAGGGAGCUAGCGUUGUUCGGAAUCACUGGGCGUAAAGCGCACGUAGGCGGAUGUGUCAGUCAGGGGUGAAAUCCCGGAGCUCAACUUCGGAACUGCCUUUGAUACAGCACGUCUUGAGUCCGAUAGAGGUGGGUGGAAUUCCUAGUGUAGAGGUGAAAUUCGUAGAUAUUCGGAGGAACACCAGUGGCGAAGGCGGCUCACUGGCUCGGUACUGACGCUGGAGGUGCGAAAGCGUGGGGAGCAAACAGG